UAAUACCUACGGGAGGCAGCAGUGGGGAAUAUUGGGCAAUGGGCGCAAGCCUGACCCAGCAACGCCGCGUGAAGGAAGAAGGCUCUCGGGUUGUAAACUUCUUUUAUCAGGGACGAAGCAAGUGACGGUACCUGAUGAAUAAGCCACGGCUAACUACGUGCCAGCAGCCGCGGUAAUACGUAGGUGGCAAGCGUUAUCCGGAUUUACUGGGGGUAAAGGGCGUGUAGGCGGGAAAGCAAGUCAG
rnacentral:rRNA from 1 species